AAUGAUCAUUCGGGUACAAAUACAUGUGCCAUGCAAUGGCAAACUUUAGUCACAUGGCUUGGUGGCUGGAAUUUACUCCACUCCAAAGCCCCAUGUCUAAGUAUCAGAGCAUCAGGGAGGCUGGCCCCAUCCUCUUCUCCACUGGACUUCUUUCCAUUGAAAGGCUGACGCCUCCUUGACCUUCAGGAGGAAACAGAAGGCUAUUGAGGGUUUUGCUCUGAAAUGAGGGAAGAGGGAGAGAGCUUAACUAGGAAGUCUACCUUGGUUAGUGGCUCACUCCUUCAUCUUGAUGAAGUACGCCAAACAAAGAACUUUAUAUUUUUCUUUGGGGGAACAGGUAAGCAGGUGCAUGUGUGCAUGUAGGUACACAUAUACAUGCACACGCACAUACACAUACAUAGGUGCUUGUAUGUGUGCAGAGGCCAGAGGUCAGCUUGCUUGUCUUUCUCAGUCACUAUCCACUAGCUACCUUUAAAACAGUCUUUCACUGAACCUGGAACUCACAGAUUAGGCAAGACUGCCCGGCCAUUGAGCCCCAGGGAUGCCCCUGUUUCUGCCUCCCCAGUGCUGGGCUUACAAGUGGCUCGCCCAUCUUAUUGAUGUGUGUGCUCACACUUGCAUGGCCAGUACUUUAUUGCCUGAGUCAUCUCUCCAUCCCUGGGCCCUCAUAUUUUCCAACUUCUUCUUGAAGGCAUUGGGACAGACUAAAGGGUCCCAGGGCUUCCUUUUCUCUUCAGGUUUGUUCAGUAGAACUAAACAAAAGUAACACAGUUGCUAAUCUGGUGUCCUUUGAGGAAUCUUAAAAUACAUCCCAGAUUGCAAGGUAGUCUUGAAAAAUCCUACUAGUUGGUGAUUUUUGGAUCAAGGACUGAAAGCUGGAAAACAAACAAACAAAACAAAACAAUUGACUUACUGUGUAACGAGAAAAUGUGUGGCCACUGGCUCAUUAUCAUCUGCAUAAACCAAGCUGUUCUACAAGUCAGCAGUAGGUUAGGUAAUUUUGGGCUGGGGCUGAACGGGUCACAGGUCUUAACCUCUCAUUGGACAAGGUUAUAGCAGCUGUAACCUUGUGUGCUGAAGAGAUGUCUGGGCUCUAGAUAAAGCAGGGGAGAACACAGUUAGUUGCUGACAGUCUCAGGUCACAAUCCACCACAGCUGCCACUGAUGUCACCUCAUCCUUGCUUGAUACCUUUCCUAUUUAAAGCCCAUACCUCUAUCCACAGUCAUCUGUGAGUUCAAGAAGAACAAGAAGGCCCCGUGAUUAUCUCCCUGUCCCUGCCAUACCUAAAACCACCAGCUUACACUUACGCUGCCUUUCCUUCUGUAAACUUACAAGGUAACAUCUGCUUCAGAGGCAGAUGUUUGCCCCAGAAUGUUCGCUCGAUCGCUCGUUCGCUCUUCUGCUCAUUGAUGCUUUUCUGGUUAACAUCUAACUAUCCUACUCAUUAGUUCUUAAUAAUACUUUUUGCAUCCAAGCCAUGCCAAAGAUGCUCUCUUCAGCGCUCUGCCAUUAUUGUCGCUUCUGGUGCUGUUGAAUUAGCGCUGCUGAAUAAAGGGAAAGUAAAAAUAAGCCCCUCGAAAGAAGGCCGCUGCGCUGCGUGUAACAGCUCUGUCUUUGCAAACUGAAACAAGCUGAAAUCAAUUAAAAGUGUGUGUUGAGAGAAUGCUUCUCAGCUGCCUAAUUGUGCCACCUCUGCUUCGGGGCCAAAGUUUGACUCUCUGCCAAAUUGCCAUCAAAAACGGGCGGCCAGCAGUCACUGCUGCACCGCAACUGCGGGAGCCGGACUAAUGAAAGAAGCCCGGUGCAUUCUGGGGCCAGGUGCACAAAGACUCCACUUCCCAGAAGCACUCCUCCACUGUAUGGCUCUACCAACAGACUCGAGGGUCCUCAGUGAUAAGGGCAUUAUGACAGCGGGAUAUCUUAUCCCACCUGGGGUGUCUUCAGUCUGACUACUUUAACAGAUUACCUAGUUCUGCAGAGCCACAGAACUAUGUCUGAAACCCUCUCAAAAACUACUUUUUAAGAUUUAUUUUUGUUUAUGUGUAGGUGUGACCAUGUGAGUUCGGAUGCCUAUGAAGGUCAGAAGAGGGCAUUAGGUCUCCUGGAGUUCAGGUGGUUGUGAGGCACCCCAACUUGGGUGCUGGAGGAGCCCCACUUUUAACCACUGACUUGUCUCUUUGACCCCUGAACACUAGUUUUGAAAAUAACUCUAACUUUAAUGUCUUAAGAGGCCAAUGCCACUGUCAAAACAGUUGAAGAAACCAAAAUAUAAACAAAACUAAAGCUGAUUUAUCUGAUAAGAAAAGCAUAUAUAUUCUUCAAGGAACAUGGGCCAGCACAAUGUACUGUUUGGAGAUCAGGAGAAAGGAUUCUUAAUAAAUCAUCAAUGAUGAUUUCCAUGGAUACAACAAAGAUAUAGUCACCAUAUUGUUUACCUUUAUGUGACCAUCCCCUAUAGAAAAAAAGCUAAUUAUAAGAAUCAUGGUCAUUAGCAAAUAUAAGACUCGCUUAUGAGGCUUAGGACAUUGUCAAAUAUGAAAAAAAAAAGGAACUUAUGUCAAACCCAGAAAAUGUUCAGAGUGUGGAAUUCUCUGUGCCCUGCAUUUCUGAGACCCCAUGAAUUCCCAUGCAACCCUAGAGCAUGUUCUUAUACUUUUUAUAGAAGGUUCCUCCUUUCAGCCUAAGCAGCUGUCUUUCAGCAAAGAUUACUUGGCAAACACUGCUUGAUCAAGUAUAAAUCAGAUACGCUCCUCUGAAAUCUAAACCUACAAAGACUAUGUCCCAUAACACUCCAUAAAAAUGAAACACAGAAACACUACAUUAUUGCUGCCAAAAGCAAUAGAGAAACUAUGAAUGAAAACGAUUGCUGGGCGUGUCUUCUAUGAGAUUUCAUGUAAACAACCUCCCCUAUUAUCUGACUCUCUACCAUCGGAUAGGCUUACAUGUUGCAAAUUGAAAUGAGGAUCACUUGUGAGGAAAUUAAAAUGUUAUAAACUGCCCUGGGUGUUGUUGGCACUGCUAAAAAAAAAAAAAAUGUUGAGGACUAACCACAAUCAAAACCUCAUUCCUCUUCAGUCAACAGAUUCCAUCUGACGCUUAGAAGCAGGGUGCCAAGAGAAUCGGUGAGGAGAAUGGCAGCUCUUAUGGGCUCCCCUCUUUAAAUGAACCCUGAGGAGUCCAGGGUAGUGCAUGGGUAAAUCACACAACAUUCUCUCUCCCAGACUUCUUAUUCACACCCUGACCUCUGACACACUUUCCUGUCCCUGCCUGUGUCUGCCCUCAGCAAUCCGCAUCAUGAUCCUGGCAUUCUCCUAUGCUCCUGAGUUACUCUAGUCGGACUGGCUGACCCCUCGUAUUUCACGUGACUAAGGUCACAAUACUCAGUUUCCCCCAAAGGGUGAAGAGAGCAAACACAGAAAAACAGCACUCUCUUCCGUCUUUGGGGUUUUUCUUAAAACUCAAGGAGACACAAUACCUUUCCUGUGACUGUGUUCCCUUCCACAUGAUGGGUCAGGGGCCACAGACACCAUCUUGGAUUCAGAGCACCAGCACUUCUCAAGGGAACCAGCCAGAAAAGUGAUAAAUAGCCAGGUCAAGGCCCCAGAAUGUCAUCUCCUAGGCCUAAAGAAGCAGGUAACUGAGCCGCUGGGAGCUGGUUACUAUCUUGAGAGGUUGCCAGGCAUAGCAGGUAGAUGCUGAAGCAAUUUAGUAAUUGUGAUAGCAAUGUGUUUACCAAAAGCAAGCUUGACAAGCAAUUUAUUAAGACAAUUUGAACACCUUUUUUAAAGCCUCAUAUCAUAGAAUGGAAGAGCCUUCAGUAACAUACCCUAAUAAUUUUAAAGACUUAUUUUUAUGCAUGUGUAUGUUUGCCACAUGCAUGUGGGUCCCCACAGGGUCCAAAAGAGGGUGUCAGAUGUCCUGGAGUUGGACUUAUGAAGGAUCGUUAGCCACACAAGGUAGGCUCUCGUCACUGAACUCAGGUUAUCUGGAGGAGCAGCAAAGACUCCUAUGCACUGAGCCAUCCUCUCCCGGUACCAAUUAUUUUAAGUGAAGCUGUAUAUAAGACAGCAAUACAAAGACUGCAUUGUAAAAGAGAUCACAUUAAAUAUGGCCAAUGGCCACCUAUAUAAAGAUACUUUGUAAACAUCAACCCAGAUUGAAGGAUUGGCUGGGUGACAAAUUCAAGCCCCAAUUUCACAAAGAAGGGCAUAAAACAGAUGGAACAAAUGCUAGUCAAGUAUACAAAAAUUUAAAGCUCAUCACCUAGAUUUUAAACACUUUUCUUUUAAAUGGCAAAUUCCUGUCUUUAAGCAAAUCUUGUAUGGUAUCCUAAAGGCAAAACAGCUAACACAGAAACAUGCAUGUCUGAGAUCAGAGAAGCAAGGCUGAGCCCCACCCCCACCCUCGCCUCUGAAUGAAGCUCACAGGUGUCCUCAACAAGGUCCCAUGAGCCUUGGGAUACAUACUAGUUUCCAAAAGUCAGAAAAACCACCAGUCUGGCCCAUCCUUCCCAUUGAAUACUUGGGCCUCAGAAUCAUAAAAUACAUACCGAAGGAUUAGGAUCAUUGCUUGUGCUAGCUUGUGUGUGUGUGCAAGUGUGUGCAUGCACGUGUGAGUAUGCAUAUGUCUAGAGCUUGAUGCAUGGUGUUUUUCCCUAUUGUUCUCUAUUUUUAAACCUGAAUCACCCACUGAAUUUAAACCUCAUAAUCAGCAGGACUGACUGGCCAGUGAUCUCCAGGGACCUACCUGUCUCUGCAUUCCCAGGGUCGGAUUCAGAGAUAGAGGACACAGCACAGGCUCUUUGUAGUAGCUGAGAAUUCUCAACUCAGGCCCCCAUGCUUGUGCAGCAAGCACAUUAUUGGCUUGAGUCAUCUCCCAAGCAACCUCCCGGUGUUGUGUCUAUUAGAACCACCAAGAGAUGUAGGACGGAUGGUGAUAGCUUAAGGACCACAGGGGGAAACGUCCACAUUUGUUCAGAAGUCAGAGGAGGAAGACCAGUAAGAGCUUGGCUCUUCCUGGGAAUGAUUGAGCUGAGGUUUCUCACAUCAGGCAAAUGAGGUCCUGUGGGGUCAGCAGCCUUCCAGGGCCCAUUCUCCUAUGGGACAGGCUAUAGCAGAGCAAUAAGGGAUGACUCUCAGAAGGCUUUCUGUGGCUCUGAGGAAUGGCUAUGUAUACCAGUGUCCCUUAUGGAGAUUCAUACCCACUUGGGAGAACUUGCCCUUGGUUAUAUUCCAUAUUGGGUGCUUUAGUAUAAGUAUACAUGCCAAUGUGGCACAGGGUAAAUCCAAGGACAUUUUGUUCUUUACCAGAGACUGACAAGCUCAUUUGAUGGCAACAACUCACAGUCCACAAGAAAAUGCUGAGUCUUUCUUAUAGGCAUAGUGAAAUUUCGGCAAAGAGAGCCAAACAGUGCUGGCAGCUAUUUUAGACUUGCAUAUUUUAAUACUGUGCAUCUAUUUUUUCUUUACAAAAUAGAUUAAAUUUUCUGUCCCAACAAUGUCCUUGUGAGAAAGGUUAUGACCCCCAUAGUCCAGAGAUAGGGAAACUCAACCUUGGGUAGAGGGAAGGCCAUCUGCAUUGUACUCAGCCAAAGAGCUUGUACAAUCAUAAAAAAAAAAACCACAGCCUCUAGUAUGCACAGUCAUUAUAGUCAGGUCUUGGCCCAUCCCAGUAGAAUAAAUGUAGGAUAAAUGUACAUUGGGGACAUAUGACACACAGGCUUACCUGAGGAACUUAAUCCAUGACUGACUUAAAUUUCCAGAACUUACUUCUUGGUCUGUGGUUUCCUCUCUAAGUGUAUAGUAAUUGAACAAGCAUGUUACAGGAGAAUUCACCCAACACAUGUUCUUGCAAAGCCUUCUCCACAAAAUAAAACUUAAGAAUAAAACUUAAAUCUACCCUAUCUAAACAGUCUUCCCCAUUUUUUCCUGUUUCCCCUUUCCUUCAUUUUCUUUUCCCUUUGGAAUGGAGUUUGAGCUGUGAGGCAGACACCCUUGGGGAAAGUCCUGUCUGUUUAUGUACAGAGUCCACAAAAGAUAGCCAGCCAUGUAGAGGUGGCCCAGGGCAGGGCUUGGGUGACGGCAAGAACAAGGUUAGCCUGAGUACCUGGUUCCUAGAACUGUGGCUCUGUGCUAAGCCCUUGCCAACUCCCUGAUGAGACUGGCCUAUGAGCGAGACCUCUUUGAAAUAGCAGGGAGCUAUUUUCUAAAUCAGCUCAUUAGGACUUGGAUUUGAAUAUGCAGCAGAUUCCCACAGUCACACUAAAUGCAGUGGAAUAUGAAGUUCCUGAAGUACACGAAGCACUUUCUCACAACCUCAAACAGUACAGGGACUUGUCUUCCAUGACCCGUGGUGCUAAACUGUUGCUUCUUUGAUCUUGCCUUCUACCAACAUCCUAUAUCCAAGCCACACUACACAUGAUUCUUUUCUUUGUCCCGGAAUGUCUGUCUCUAGAUGGCCCUUCAAACUUAAAGCCUAGCCCUGCCUUGGCAGAGCUCUCCCCAGUAUGCUAGGAAGCCAUGAUGCUUUGUAGGUUCUUCUAGGCCAGCUCUCACUCAGUGCAGGUCAUUAUUUGUGUCGAGCCAGGCCCUCCCCUCCUGGGCAGCGACUGAUACCUAAUUGAUUUUCAGAUCACCAAGAAAGUGAAAUGCAGGCAUGCUGUGGUCAAAACCUCAUGUUUAAAAGGAGAGACUGAUCUAUUAUUUUGAUCCUGGAAAGCGGAUUGGGAAGAGUGGUAGGUGAUCAGGCAAAGAGGACAAGCCUAUACUUGCCAAGUAGCUAGAAGCUGGAAGUGAUCACAGCCGCCCUCUGUAGAGGAAUGAGGAGUUACCAAGCUUAUGUCAGGGACAACUAUUCACUCACGAGUAAAAUGAAGAUUUGCUUCAGACAAAUGAGUCACCAGGUCAGAAGUAUUCCCGACAAACAACAAAGGGAGGGGCGCUGGUAACUAUUAUCUCUAAAUAGAAGGUAACACUGGAAACAUAAUUUAUCAUUUCAAGGAUUUUUUUUCUUAUUCAUUUUGUGAAGUGCUCAAGUUUUUGAAAUUCAGAAUGGAUUAAUAUGCGGUCCCUUCUGCUGGAAUGUGACCCUAAGUAUUGCCAGGUUGCAUAACCACCUCCAGUUAGGAUUCUUGGCCAAGCUAACUCAGUGAUGUAUAGUGGACCCAGACAGUUCCCUGAAAAGCAAAGACAAACACUGAAAGCACUCUGUGAAUGCACAAGACACACUUCCCUUGUGCUCUGAGAUUGGCUUCUUUGGUCCAACACUUUCUGUUGUAAUAUUUUUUAUUUAAUAAAUCCUAGCAGCGGGUUCACUACCCGCCUCAAUGAUUUAGGUUCCUGAACGAAACACACACAGCCUUUACAUUUUGAUAUGACUUAAACAGCUCAAUAGCUGGGCCAAGGACUAGAACUCAGCUCCCCAGCCUCACAGACUGGACCCAGGCAAGAAUUGCUUUUCCCCCUUGACACUAAACAGGAACAUGAGGGGGUAAUCUGAGCAAAACUUUGCCCUACAGACGGGAUACACUAUGCAUGUUUUGACAAACACUAUUUGUUUUUGUUUUUCUUAGCUCGGAGCAAGUUUAACUGCUCUUGAUCACUAUUAUCGGACUGCCUGAGCCUUUCAAAUACUAAGUACUAUUUGAGAGCAAUUGUUACUUUAACCGUGAAUUAAGAUCAUAAGUCUUUUGUUUAAAAUGUGAUUGUGUGUUCGGCUGAGCCCUUCCAAAGGUUCCAGCCUUAAUUCCCUUGCAGGCAACUGAUGCUUCGCUGAAAUUUUUCAUUUGCAAAUUAGGUUCAUUUAUGGCAGAAAAUGAAAAGUCAUGAUCAGACAGACCCAGAAAUGGGGCCAUCCUUUACCUAGAAGGAGCAAUUAGCUGAACUAUCUGUGGGGAGAUUUUAUCAUUCGUGUAUUGUCAAUAUUACAGAGUAUCAAAGAAUCCCCCUGAAAAAACACAAGAACACAGCCAUUCAAGUGCAUCCUGGUGAACUCCUCACUGCAGAGAUAGUGUCGUGGGUGUGGCCAGAGAGAGGCAAGCGCCCUCGCUGCUAGCCAUCAGGCCCGGAUAACUGUGAUGGGUUUCCUCUGGUGUUUCUUCUGCUGGAAGGAGAAAGGUCCCAAGCCCUGGCAGUCAGCAAGCACUGCUCCGGCCACACAUCCUGGUUUCCAAAACAAACAUGUCUUGCCCUAAGACAUGGGCCACAAAGAGGUGACUGAUAUCCCUAAGCUCCUGUCCUGUAGUGUGUGACAAAGGGCACAGGUGCAUCUGGAGCUGAGUGACAUUUUCCCUGAUGUUGCUCCUGAGGCCUUAUGGUAGUAAACCAAACCAUCAUGGCCUGGUCUGCAAGAAACAGUCAACCCCACUGGAGCGUGCAGAGACCACAGGUUUACCUCGGAUCUCAGCAGUGUGGAGAUUCUGCUCCAUGGAUGCCUGCUCCUUUCUCGCUGCUGCUUUGCCAUGGCCACAGUUGUCUGGUAAGUUGUUCUCAUCCUUUUUGAAAGCAGCAGGACACCUGGCUGUGAAGGGCUUGAGCAAGCUGCAAGGAUGAGGGCCCUUCCAAAACACUUGUUGACAAAGCCAGUGAGGACAAGGAGAAGGCUGGGGAGAUGGCCCUGCUCCCUCUGUAUCAGGUGGCUCGAGAACAUGACAAGGUGGAUAGCAGAAGCAGCGCUGAUAGUGACACUUCACUGCUGACCUGGGUCCCUGCAUCACCACACCACACAGCAAGCAGCUGCAGGCCAGGCAUCCUGAGCCUCUCUUGACUCUAAUUUUAUCAUUAAUAAUCACCAUCCUGCCCUCCAGCUGUUGAGGAACUUGCCAUCUAAGAGCACCAGAUUUACUAUCCACAUAGGAGCCAGGCCUGCUAAUUCCCAACUGGGCAACUCUGACAGGGAACAAGUCCCAAGGCAGUAGGCUGGCAGUGUGGUAAUUAACCAGACUGAAAGUUCUACCCAGGUGUGGCCUUUACUGGGGUCCCCAGAUACCUGGAAGGCAUCUAUCAAAUAACAGGCACUCGUUAAACAUUUGUUGAACUCUCUACAAAAGGAAAUGAACCUGGAAUGACAGGUCUCCUGUUGACAAGACCAUACCCACAUAGAUUCCAUACGUGGUUCCUAUUCACAAUUUCCCAGGGUAUGGUUUGAGUUAUUUUUUGUAUCAUCGACCUAUAGAUGUAGUUGCCCCUGGAGAUGUCUUCCAAGUUCUCACCUAUAGGGCAAUCUAUAUUUGCUCCCCACUGAAGAACCUGGUGAGACACUAAAGGGGACACCAGCUUUCUUGAACUGUUUAGUUCUUUCAUUCACCAUGUUUAUUUUCUUCCCUAAACAAAUCAGGAAAGGCAUGGGGAGAAUGUAAAGAGAGGUUCAUGGUAAGGCUAACACUGCUGAUCAAAUAUAUGUAAAACAUUAUCACCGGCUUACUUCAAAAGUCACAUAGAGGGGACAUAACUUGGCUUGGUGGGUAUGAGAGUGUCUUCACAAGGAGAACAUGAGUUCAAAUCCAUGGCACCCAGGUAAAAAGCCAGGCAUGAACCCUGUAAUUCCAGGGCUUAGGGAGGGGGCCGAGAUGGAAGGGGAGCUGGGACUAGCUACCUUCUGAUCUAGCUCCAGGUUCAGUGAGAGACUCUGUCCCAAAGAGACAAAGUGUGGUAAAGCAGACAGCCAAUAUCUUCCUCUGACCCAGAAUGCACACAUAGGCAUGUGUACCCACACACAUGCACUUGUGUAAAUUACAUACAUACAUACAUACAGAAAGACAGACAGAAAGACACACACACACAACCAUACAACGAUAAAAAACCAAAAGACUUUCUUCAACACCUUGUACGAUGUUCAGUUUUUAGUGAAUUGAUUCCAUUUUUGGUGGUAAGUUCCCCGGGAAACACUCCUUUUUAAACCUGCGUUUUGAGAAAUGAAGUUAAUGGACCAGAAUGAGCUUAUUGUAAAAUACUCAUCAACUCAGAAGAUCAAGUUGAAGCCCUUCUACCCUUAGGUGAGUGAAACUUGAUUGCUGGACACUGUCAGAGUAGCUAGCCAAAGGUCAUCUUUCUAGUAUUGAAGGAAGUGCUUAAAAUAGCCCACUUGGCUUCCCACCAUUAUCUGUCACCAUACAUAAUUUAAAAAGAAGGGAACACCUCAGAUACUAACCCAAUAAAAUCGCUGGCAAAAUUAUAGGAACAGAAUUCAAAAGAAAUUCAGAAUCUACUGUGCUCUGUGGCCACCAAGACCUGUUCAGCAAAUGGACAACCUUUAGAUUAUUCUAUCCACAGCAUUUGUUUAUUGAUGCUUGUCUGGGGUGUGUGUGUGCGUGUGUGUGUGUGUGUGUGUGUGUGUGUGUGUGUGUGUGUGUGUGUGAAGGCAGUGUCUCAUGUAGCCCUGGGGUGUGUGUGUGCGUGUGUGUGUGUGUGUGUGUGUGUGUGUGUGUGUGAAGGCAGUGUCUCAUGUAGCCCUGGCUGACCUUGAACUUGAGAUCAUCCUGCAUGUGUUGGAAUUUCGGGGCUGCACCGUCAUGCCUGAUUUAUGCCAUGCUGGAGAUCAAAGGCAGAGCUUUGUGCAUGGUAGGCAAGCACUCUACCAACUUAGCUACAUCCCCAGUCCUAACAGAGAACUUUGGAAAAGCUUCGUGAAAGAUUUCCCUUCUCUACCCCAUCACCCCCACACUGUGCUACCUGCAGCUCUAGGGGAGGGGGAGCUUUGAACAUGCCCUUGCUGCCUAAGUGAGGCAAUGACACAUUCCUGUACUCCAUGGCUCGGAUUCUUGAUAUUUCUUAUCAACUGCAGCAUUGUCUACAAAGUCCUACUUCAUUAAACCGGUCCUUAUCUUACCCUCCUUACUGUGCAGGGUAAUGUCUUUUGCAGGAGGGUUGGGAAUGGUCAACCACAGGCUUUUCCUAUGGAUUCUCAUUAGCUUUAGUGUGGGAAAAGAACACCCAAAGAUCUACCUGGAAACUACUACAAUAACCUAGGACCUCAGCCACCUAGGUAUCUCCGUAAUAACACUGAAGUGUUUCUCAGUCAGCAUGGUGACCUGGAUCUGCAAUUCCAGUGCUCAGAAGGCUGUAGUGAGUCGGAGGCCACUGAGGUCACAUAGUGAGUGGGAAGGCAGCCUGGACUGCAUCGUGAGAUCCCAAAGAUGCAGGCUGGCAUGGGAGAGGGAGGGGCGUUUUAGGGCUGGAGCUGCUUGUAAGUUGCCCAGGAUCCUGUGACUCACGUCUCACCCAUGCUCUGUAAAUAACUCCAAACUUGCCAGUUCAACAAGCCAGACUUGGCUGGAAUCUUUUAUUCAGUCUGUAGUUGGGGUUCCAUCUGGGGUGACUAGAUUUCAGUUGUCACCCUAGGAAAAGUUCAGGAUAACUACGGACUCCCUUCCCAAUUCCAUACACUCAGAUCCACCCAGGACGAGACCAGAAACUCCCACAUAGAGGUACUUUGCCCCCACCUCCACCCCUUCUCCCAGCAGCCCAGCACCUUUCCUUCACAACAUCACAAUACAAGUCUGCUUAGCUUUGUGCAUUCUGGCCUUGGUGGCCUGAUUUUAGAAGCCACAGCCAAAGACACAGGGCCUCCCGGGUUUUAUUUCCAGCUUCCUCUGUUCUCAUCCCUGGACUCCACAGCACUUCGGAGAAUGUCCUCUGAUAUCCAGUUUCCCCUUUCUGCGUCCCCUGCUAUUGAAAUCACAGCGCCGUGUUUCUGGCGGAUGGAUCCACAUGCUUCUUUGGUGUGGCCCCAGCUUCCUGCCUCUGCUGGAGACACAAUCAGUGCUCAGCCUGUGCUUCUCCUGAUGAACCUCACACACUAGGCGCUGCGCUCAGUUGCUCUUGCAUUGAACAACUUUCCUCUGGAUCUUUGCCUGCUUGGCCCUGCUUCACUCUAGAGAACAGAAUUUUUGAAAACUCAGAUUCCUUUCAGAAAAUGAACUACUCUCUCCCUCCCCCAUUCUCUCUCCUGUGCGUGUGUAUUGUACAUGUAUGUGAGUGUGCAGUUACAUGCCAUGCCAUGUAGGCACAUGUAUGCCCACAGGAGACUGCUCAGUGUCUUCCUCUAUUUCUUUCCGCCUUCAGUCAGGGGCUCUCAAUGAACCCCAAACUAAUAACUUCAGAUAGGCUGGCUAGCCAGUGAGCUACCAGGAUCCAUCCAUCUCUGCUCCCCAAAAGCUAGGGUUACAGGCACAAGUAGGUACUCAGCUGUGACAUACCUGGAGUGCUGGGGAUUUGAUCUCAGGUGCUCAUGUUUAGACAGCAGUUAACCUAACCCCUUGGCUACCUUCCCAGCUCCAACUACAUGCUUUUCUCAGAGCCACCACUAGACUUCAAAGGCCCCAGCAAAAAGACCCCCUUCCUGUAUUUAAAGGCCACUAUGUGUGUGUAAUAUGAGCAUUUCUUCAUUUUGAAUGCUCAGUGUGUCCAAGCUAGAUUAAAAGUACUGCGUGCUUCCUGGGUGCUUGGAGGGAGAUCUCUGUAAGAGUUGUGUUUAUGUAAUUACCAAAACCCUUCCUUUAAAGGUGGUGGGUGGGUAACUUUCACUCCAUGGGCUCUGAAUAGGGGUCAAGUCCACUGUGGACAGUCAUAGUAUUCCAGGCCAUCUUGGCCUAGACUGGUAUUUUCCAGUGGAAGGCAAGAAGAAAGCUCAGCAGGCUGCAUGGGGGAAAGAGGUAUGUGUGACAAAGGUAUGUGACUAGGACUCUGUUGAUGACCGUUCUGUGGGAGUUAAAGAGUUAACCAGACAGAACAUUGGUGAUCCAGACCCCUUGGCUCCUCCCUUUCCCAUUCCCCUGUCCAGAUAAAUUGAGGGCCAAGGAUGGAAUGAUUUCCACUUUCCAGUGGUAAACCUCCAACUGAGGCUUUCUCCAGGGUGACCCUUAAUCAGAGUCCACUCCACCCCAAACGCUACAUCACCAUGCCACCAACCACACUUUCCCAAUGUUGACCGUGUGGUUACUGGCAAGGGCAGGAGGCUAUGGAGUGGUUGGUGGUUGGUGAUAGGGCCCUAAAAGUAGUGCGUGCACAAGCUUCAGGCUCCAUCCUAAUUCCCAAGGCAUCCACAGUGCUCUGGCAGCCAUCAGACAAAGAGUUCACUAAGGAGCUGCACCAGUCUAAUUUAUAUGCAAGGGGAAACUCUCCCCCAUUGCCCCUUUCACACAACAGUAUUUGCCCUGUAGCUUGAACUCCAAAAGCUCUCUGUAGACACCAUAAGGGUUAUGGCCACCAAAGGGAAAAAUCACAAAUGCAAGAGGUCCCAGGGAAACUGUCCUCUAAGGCAGCAUAGCACAGAAAGUCUAAUUUAGAGCCAGAGCCCUACCCUCACAUUUAGCCUCUAUGCUCACUCUUCCCAUGUCCUUGGCCAUGACACUUCAAUGCUCGGAGUUUCUCUCUUAAAAUGGAAAAAGGCCAUUAAGAAAUUCAAGCACAAUAACUGAACACAACAGGGAAAUAUCUUCCCUUCUUUGAUAUUCAUACUAUGCCAAACACAGAACGAUUCACCAAUGUUUAUAAUUUCCUGGGGACAGAUGUGCACCCAGAGCUCAUAGUCCACUCCCUGACUGGACAGAAGAUGCAUCUGAGAUAAGCAGGCUGCAUCUGGGGAGGUGGGAAACCCCACCCCCACCCCCUGUCUGUUCUCAUCUCCCCUGCAUGACUCACCUGUCAGCUUCCUAGGCUUCCUCAUUGAAAAACCAGCAUUCUUCUCACGGUUGGCUAUGCACAAAAUAUCCUUCUGUUCUCCAGCCCCAUCAAAGCACCUUCACGCUAUGCAGACAGGUCAUUCUUAUUACAAUCAGCCCCUCUACUUGUACGCUCUCCCAGUUUGGAGAGGGGCACAGACUCAGACAUCUGUCUUAAGCUCUUGACUUUUCUAGGUAGUAUCCCAAGCCUGAACCAGCAACAGGAAGAUGGCACCCUUGGAUUCUUCCUUUCAUGGUAAAGAAGAGGAAAGAGCAGGGUUGGGUCCUAACAGCUUUCAAGUUUCUCAUCAUGUCCUUCAUCAUCAUUUACUGCCAUCUAAGAACUAUCCAAUCAGCCUCUUGGAUAAAGACCAUCACCUUCCAAUGAUCUGUAAGAUCUUCAUAUUUAACUCUCCUUUCCUUCUCCUCAUUGGUCUUCUCCCUCACCCUACUUCAUCCUAUUUAGGCCCACUGGAGGCUACCCAUCCUGGACUCUUCUGGACAGAUCCAGUUCCUCCUACCACAGGGCCUUUGCAUGUACAGUUCUUCCCAUGGGGCUCUUAUUUGCAUCUAAUUUCGCUUUAUUCAUUUCUUUGGAUCUUGACUCAAAAGUUCUUUCCUUAAACUAGAGGAGGAUCUUGCCUUCUUGUCCAGAAUAAAAAGAUUCAUGAGAGCAAAAGAAAUUUAUAAUUUCCUCCAAAGCACAUAAUAUUUGCUCAAUAAGUGUGCUUAUUUAUUGAUGUCACAAUUUAUAUGUCAAUGUUUCCCUUUGACAUUGUGUGUAAUAUCACAAGUUUUGCAGAACUCACUGUAACCCCACCCAACCUUCCAACUAUAGGAAUUUAAGCACAUUUCUUCUGGAUCACUUCCUGUACUCAAGAUACUCUUUUGUCCCCAAGGUCUUUGGCCUAUGCCUGAAAUGGCUUCUUUUCUCUCCUCUGCACAUGAAGUUCUCAUUAUUUGGGUAGGUUUUGUGAAUGGUGAGGAGGCAUAACACAAUAAGAAGUGUGCAACUUAGAGCUAGGGUCCGAGGCUCUCAUCAAGCCUCCACAAAAAAGCCUACCUGGGAAGUUCCAGGCCAAAAAGAGACCCUGCCUCAAAAAUUGAAACAACAAUGAUGACAAAAGAGCAAGGUAGAUGAUGUUCCUAGGGAUGAUGCCCAAGGUUGUCCUCUGUCCUCUACACACAUGAGCACAUGCACCUGCAUGCAUGCAGAUGCAGGAGAACAGGGAGUUCAGACAGCAAGCAGCAUCAAGAUUAUAUAACGUACCCAAGGAACACACAGACACAAAGGACUGGAAAUUCUUUCCUAGCUGGGCUUCAUGCAAUACACAGAGCAGGCAUGGGGAAAGCUUAGGUACACAUGGGUGCUCCGAGAAUGAUGACCUAGUGAGGGUCUGAGCCUCUCAUAGCCUGGUGCUUUUUGAGCAAAUGACUUUUCUUAGUUCACUACUAUAGCCCACACUUAGCAGGUAUCUUUUCGAUAAUAAUAAAUAAUAAAUAAUAAUUUGUUUCUAUUACUAUGUGUCCUUGGUGCAACAAUCCUUUGUCUUGGAACGUGAGAACUUAGAAACACACACACAUACAAGCACACACACACACUUUUAUUUGAAUUAAAGUAGAUUUUCCCUAUGAGCAUUUUAAGCAUAGAAUAGAUUUUAAGCAGAGAAAAGACUGAAAAUAACCUUCAUGGAAUAAUUUUUUUUUUUGGAUCCUCCCUCAGACCCCUUUAAGUCUUACUAACUCCCAAAGAAGGGGCCAAGCCUUUCUGGAACCUGUCUCUUGCCCACCACCAUCACCAAUCACCCAAUCACCACCUCCACCACCACCACCACCCUCCCCUGGCAACUGUCUCUUUGGUGCUUGCUACACUCAUUGCCUUGAGUGGGUGGAUAUUUCACUUUUUCCCCUGAAAUCAGAGGCGUAUUUACUCGCUGUGUCCAAUGGACUGGAAUCAGCCCCGCUCUUCUGGUUCCACACACACCCAUCAAGCAAAACCCAAACACACAGGAAACCACUGAUAGAAAACACAGCCUCUUUUUGCAUGACCGCCUACUCGCCACAAAUUCACAAAGACAUCUGAUUGCAAGUGAGCCCCAGUUUAAAGGGGAUGAGGGCCGCCUCACCACCAGAUACAAAACCAGUCUCCAUUUUUAAAAGGAGGUCCACUCUUGUUUCCAUUUCCCCAACAACCUUUAUUCUUUUGUUCCAGCAAAGUAAAUUAUUCCUCACCUUGGGCAAGUUGGAGGAAACGUGAGAAAAUUAUAUUAAAUCAGACAUCCUUGAGAUCAAAAUAGAUUGGAACAGGGGUCUCUUUGCUGAAAAUAGUUCUUCAAAGAGAAAGCAAAAGAGCUUAAGGGAAGAAAAAGUUGUCAAACACCCUCCAGCACUUUCCUGGCACCAAGAUCUACCAACUAUUGAUAUGUUAAUUAACAUUCCCUUUUAUCUGAGCUAGGUGUUUGCUGGUCAGGAGCUGCUGCCCUGUGGCACUUGAAGCCUCUGGAAGACAAUUUCAUUUCUUAAAAGACAUUAGAAAAUACGCUCUUCCUGUGUUUCAGAUUGGUUCCUUCCUGUGGCUAGCAGCGAUGCCUUGGCAAAGUCAGAUUACCAAAUCCCAGAGAGUAUAGACCCAUUCGAUCCUCUCACAGCCAACUUCAAGUCAUACAGGAAGUAGCCGCUUCAGACAAGUAAGGAGAAAGUUAGAGUUUUAAUCAAUGACCAGCUGCCAGAGGGGAACCCCCUGGAAUCUGACCUUUCUAGGGAAGGAUUCUUUGCAGUAACCACAGCCUUCCUGAUCCACUCGAGCACUCCUGAAGCUUUCCAUACUGAAAUAUCUUCCUCCCAGCUUACACACUUUCCCGAGGGACAGUUGAUUGCCUCUGAUUCUGUUCCAGGAAAAAAUGUCUUUUCCAGGUUCUUGAAACGAUUCCAAUCGAUCAGGAAACAUCAUGCAAAACAGACCAUAUAAAAGCUCACGAAUCGAACCAAAACUUUGAGAAGCGCCCAAGGAGUCUGUUGUAUGUUUGAAUUGAGGCAAUGUCAUUUUAUGCUAACAAUUCAUGCUUUCUUUUCUCAAAAAGGGCAUUUCAAGGACAACAUUAUAGCUCACAGAAUAUGUUUCCUCCUUGCUGGAACAGACGUCUCCUAACUCUGGAUGCUUGAGCUUAUAAAUAAAGCUUUAUUAGCACAACAGCAUGUCUGUUUUCUUACGUAUCGCCUAGGGUUUCUUUCUUUCUAUAGCAGCAGGCAGGUUGAGCAGCUGAGCAUUAGCCAAGACUGAAACGCUUGCAAAUCCAAAAGUAUUUGCUAUUUGACCACUGACAUAACGAAAAAAUGUAUAGGAAAAGCUAAUGGGCCUUUUGUUACCACUAAAACAUCACUAUACAUUGUCAGCAAUACUUAGCUAAGGCCCAAAGGGAACACUUUGGCUCUCUUAUAAACAGAAGCUGACUCUCACAUGAAUAAUUCCACAGUGGCCAUUAGGAAGAUCCUCAAAGAGUCUUAAUCACCCUGUUGUAGGAUCUAAUUUGACAAUGCCUUUUACCUACUAAUCUUGUUGGGCUACCGCAUGUGACACAUUCCACCUAAACACUACGAAUGUGUUCUUCCUGUCUGCAAAAAGGCAUGACACAACAGCACCAUAAUAUAAUGAAGUCAGCAGAGCCUACAGGCACCGUUCUAAGCGUGUUUUGUAUAUGAUUACAGAAGGAAGAUGUAGGAUACACGAGGGAGGAGCUCCUUCAAUUUUGAAUCUCUGGAGUUUCGAAUGGAGGGUAGCACAUUGAAAAUACUCAGUAAAUAUUUGAUGAAUGAAUGGAAGUUGGAUCUCACAAAGACAACAUUGGGGAAAGAGGAACUACAGGACAUAGUAGCUCUGUGGAAGAGCACAAGCUGAGGAUACUCCAGACCUGGGAUUCCCUCCGCAGGUCAAAAGCAAGUGAGCAAACAAACACAGAGCUUGUCCUGGUGUUAGACAAAGUAGCAAGUGGGUUAUUUGAAAGUGGGUGGUUUUGAUUGCUUGGUACCACCAUAUCGCCUCUAUUAACACAGACUUCAGCCAGCAAACCCUCUUCUAAGCCCAUCUUAUUUUCAAUUAAAUAAGGACCUGUUGGCGAGGAUCUAACUUACUCUAACCUGAUUAAACAGGAGGCCCUUACUGGGGAGUGAUUUACUUGGCUCUGUGCUAGAAACUGAAGGCUUCAAAAGAAAAGUGAGCCGCGAUUUGCCUGAAGCGCAUGUAGAGCAGACUGCAUGGUCAGAGAAUAAUUCCGAAAAUGGACGUUCAGUUCAUACCCUGCUCCAUCAUGUCCAUUCUGCUAACCUUGGGUGAGACUUUGAAUCUCCAAGUGCCUCAGUUUCCCAGGUGCUCAUGGAAGGCAAUUCUAUGUAAAUAGGCUAUUACCCAGUAACAGGGUCUGAUACCUCGGAAGUGUAUAUGUGUACAACUAAGCAAUUAUUCAUGAAAUAUAAUAGAUUCAUUUUGUUCUGUGAUUGGUAGAUAGUCUGAGCUCCUAAAGGCCAAUGGCUGGAGAUCUGCAAACCUGCCAAGCCUUUCUCAGACUUUUGACCGUAUACUCUGCUGCUAAGACAUGGAGCUUGGGUUUUAAAAUAGCUCUUUAUUCUUUAUUCUUCCAUUGUAUUUUACUGAAGUGCUGUUUUGUGAUGGUCUAGGGGUUUGGGAACUGGAUGUACUGAUCCUUACGGGGCUCCAUCCAGGGGAAGAUACAAGUAGUGUCCUGCUAAUCAAGCUAACAGGAGAGCCCAGCGUUUCUACCCAGUAACCAGGGCAAUAAGGGGUACUAUGAGAAGGCUUGGGGGGGGCAUCUUAUGCAGCAUUUUACAGGUUAGGGAAAGAGUCUAAGGUAAAGACAGGAUAGUAAGGGGGGAAGGAAAAGGAAUAGGGAGAGAAGGAGAGGGAGAAAAAAGAAGAAAAAAGAGAGGGAGAGGGAAAGGGAAAAGGAGGAAAUUCUGUGAGGCAGUUGAAGGCAGGAAGAACAGGGUUCAUGCAGAGUACCAUGUAUGUAUUUAAAUCUCAGUAACACAAGGGGCAGUGGUUAAUAAGGUAGUAACAGUAGCUAACAUUUAUUGAAUACUUAUGAUGAGCUAAGCUCUGCACUCUGCUCAUGGGGAAAUUACCACAUUUGUUCCUUCAUAUUACCUUUAGAGGAAUGGUUUCCAGGCAGACAAAGGGAUAUUAAAUCUGAGGUGAGGGGACACAAGGCAAGGGCUUCAGAUACACAGGGAGAGGCGAGACAGAUGCCCAUCAGGGGCUGCUGGCCACCACUUCCACUGUAGGUCUCCUGGUGGUGAAGUGGGCUUGCAGGGCUUGUACCAGGUUUGUAAAUAUUACCUAAAGAACAAGGAGAAUAUCGCCUUGCAAAUUCUUUUCAAAAUGAUUAGAUAAGCCCAAGGAUGAGUGGGCAGGCGAACGAGAAGCAUCGGUUUUCUCUGUUGAGCAUGACCUUAGGAACUGCGUCUCACUUUGUGUCAUCCUGGGGAGAGCUCAGCUGAGCCAUAUUGCCUCUGGCUUCUGCUAUGAGCAGCUCCCUGGAACAGACUAAUGAAAUAGAGGCUUUAAUCUAACCCUACGAGAUGUGUGUUCUGCUCCUACCAAUCAGUAUGAAAAGGCUGCAAUUGCUUUUAAGCAAGUGUGAUGAGAUUUGUAUAGCUAAGUCAGACCUGGCUGCUUCCAGAGAUGCAGAAACUGAGGCCAGAACAGGAAGCAGGGAAGAUCUAUGGAGGCCUUGGCCCUCGGCUCGGGGGGUGUGGAUAGGAUCCUGAAGAGAGUGCAACGCUAAAGCAGAUGGAAGGGACAUAAAAAAAUCACCAGGGAGAUUCUUUGCCUCUAUAAAGAACAUUCUUUGUCUCAGCAGGAUAAUAUUGUAGGAAAUGACAAACUUACUCAUGUGGCCCUAGGUCACAAUCCUAAAAAAGUUAAAAAAAAAAAAAAAGAAAAAAAAGAAAGGAAGGAAGAAAGGAAGAGGGGGAGCAAGAAGAGGAGGGAAGGGGAGGGAGAGGGGAAGGAGGCAGACGAAGAGGAAAAGGAAGAGGAAGAGGAAGAGGAAGGAGAGGGAGCAGAAGAAGGUGAAAAAGUAGAAAGGCAGCUGAGACAAGGGAAUUAGCUCUUCCUCAUCCAGAUGCCCCAGAGCCUGCAUCAUUCUCAGCUCUUGCAGACACAGCCUUUAAAAGUUUAGAUCAGUGAGUUCUGAAACCUGCUUUUUAAAGAGUUACACAGACAGAGGGUGAGCUAGCUCAGUGGUUAAGAACAGGCUGAGUUCAGUUCCCAGCACAACUUAACUGCAACUCCAGCUCCACUAUCUGAUGCCCCCUUGUGGCCUCUGCACUCCCCCACACAGAAGCUGUUCAUACACACAAAUAUACAAGCAUGCAUAAACCAAAGAAACAAAGGGAUUUUAAAAGUAUACAGAGGUGGGGGCUGGUGAAAUGGCUCAGUGGGUAAGAGCACCCGACUGCUCUUCCGAAGGUCCGAAGUUCAAAUCCCAGCAACCACAUGGUGGCUCACAACCAUCUGUAACAUGAUCUGACACCCUUUUCUGGAGUGUCUGAAGACAGCUACAGUGUACUUACAUAUAAUAAAUAAAUAAAUAAAUCUCUUUUAAAAAAAAGUAUACAGAGGGGCUGGAGAGAUGGCUCUGGGGUUAAGAGCACUUGUUGCUCUUAUAGGAGGAGCAGGAUUCCAUUCCCCUCACCCUUAGACUAUUCACACGCAUAGGUAACCACACAUGCAAGGGAUCUGAUGCCCUCUUUCAGCCUCUGUAGGCACCAAGCAUGUGUGUGCUGCACAUACAUGACCCAGGCAAAUACUCAUACACAGAAAAUAAGUACAUCUAAAAAUCAGUUUAUAAAAUUAUAAAAAUAUACACAAAGGCACACACAUACAUACAGGUCCCACAUGUACACACAUACACACUGUCGUUUUUUUUUUUUUUUUUUUUUUUUUAGAUACAUAUGAAGACACAUUUGGACCAGCCCAUCCACUAAUCUCAAUCACUUUCACAAUUUCUAAGGCCAUAAAAUCAGCUUACCCAAAGUUAUUGUGGUACACUGGCCCCUUCAUUGCCAAAGCAAAACGAGAGACAGCAUUCAAUGUGGCAGUCACGAAUAGCUGCUCUUUGAGGGCCAAAAUCAUGAUAUUCGAUGUUUUUCCAUCUGAAAUUGGGAACAUUAUUCACUAGAGCCGGAAACCGUUUCCUGCUCCACAAAGCUGAAUUCCUAUGCCAGCAAUAUGGUCUCCAUACAAGCCCUUAAAACAGAAAUGUCACUCUGCAAAGUCCUCGCUUCAGCCAACAAAGCUUUAAGUUUAGACUUAAUUGUGAAGCUGAAUACUUGGCUCACCACAGAAGCAACUGGGGGCGACACUAAACACACACACACACACACACACACACACACACACAAGGGAACUUGUGUCAGUGCCUUGCCUAUCCAGUGUCAUUCUUCCUUCUCUCCUAACCCCGACUGAAUCUGGAAAAGGUGACGGCGAGAUGAAAUUUCAGCUUUCUCCUGUGGCUGCUGUAGACUUCCCACCAAAUCCAGUGUUUCAGCUUUAAACAUAAAGACUAGAUAGUUAACACUUCUAACACACACAGCUGAGGAUGACAGGGGCCACAUAAACAUGAUCUUAGCACACAAAUUAUCCAUUGCUGGGAGGGGCUGCCUCCCCAUGCAAAUGUCAUCUCUGUAUCUUUAUUUAUUAAUGCUUGUUGUGCCGUGAUCGAAAGAAGGUGGGUCUGAGCAGUCACAUCAAAUAGUCUUACGGUCCACAUUCUUAGAGUUGAGUGAUAGUCCUGCAAAAUGAUUUAGAAAGAUGCUGGGCUCUGACAUCCUGGGAUGAAAUUGGUUCUACCAUCAGCUUGCCAGGGAGCUCAUUCAUUUGUUCUUGUCAAUCUCUGCAAGCAAGUUCGUCCUUCUGGUUGAAAGGCCAGUGUUUGACCACACAUCACGGCAAUGUACCCAGGGUCUUUGCCUAGAUAACAUGAAAUAUUACAUAAAUGCCCAAGUCACUGAAGUCAAGGACUUACUUAUUAAUUAAAAACUCUGGCAAGCUUCUUAGUGGUGUUUUAAAAUCAAUAACCGGGGCUGUGAAUAUAGCUCAGUUGGCAGAGAGUGGUCUAGCGUGCAUGAAGCCCUGCGUUUGAUCUUUAGCGGCAUACUAACCAUGUGUGGUGGCCCCAGCCUAUAAUCCCAGCUCUUGGGAGGUGGAGGCAGGAUGGUGAGAAAUUGAAGGUCAUCUUCAGCCGUAAUAUAUCAAGGCCACCCUGGGAUAUAUAUGUAAAUCCCUGUCUAAAGUUUUUUUUAAUUAGUUGAUAAAAACAUUUUUAAAGAAUCACCAAUCACAAGAGCAUCUAUUUUAAUCAGAAAAAAAAAUGAUAGUAGAGCACAGAUCAUGUUUAUUACAUUGGUGUUUGUGGUAGGAGGUGUAUGGAUUCCCACUUAGGGCUCCAGCUCCCAUGGGCUUAACAUGGGGGGCUUGCACGAUGAAGAAACUCCUGUUUUUCUAACUCUAGAGUGCAUGAGGGAGCUGGUUUUCAACUCCUCCAAUCUGGCAACUCUCUCUGGGAAGUGAUCCACCAUGAAGGCUUUGUAAUGAAUACUCCAGAAAAAAUGAAAAUCGAAACCACAUUCAAGGGCACCAUUUACAUCACAAACCGACCAGAGAUCUCUUACAAACCACUGCCUUUAAAGGAAGCCUGGCUGACUUGAGAGAUGGGAACAUGUGAAAUCAGAUAGCCAGCACCCCAGGCUUGCUGGCCUCAGCCCUGCUCAUUCUAACCAUGUGUUUUCCAAAACAGACUACCUCCCAGAAUACACUGCAGCUGUGGCUGCGGCAGCAUGGAAGACCUGGACCUCUUUAUCAGAGAGAGACAGUGCUGCUAAUGGGACUCCUGUCCACCUGUGGUACCAGUCCCACAGAGCACAUCUUCCCGUAGACACUCUAGUAUGGUGGGGUUUCAGAGACUCAAACUGCCUCCAAAGAGCCAUGCGAGGAAGAAGGAAGGUUUGACAUAUAGCUUCCUUCAGCCAAGAAGCUCCAGACAACAUGGAUCCCAGCACGAAGCAAUAUAGUAAUGACCAUCCAAGGGAGACUCAAGAGAUGGACGCCAGGAAGUUAUCGUCUCUGAAGGAAGGCAAGAGUUGGUGUGGGACUGGAGGGAUAAAUAUUGCCAUGUGAAGAAACGGAAGUGCGCCCCGUGCAGGAGAGAGGACAUGAUUUGGCUGGGGGGCCCAGCAGCGAAGACUCAUUGCGUUAUUUUUUAUACUUGCUGUGACCAAGCAUCGGACAACAAUCAAUUUAAGGAGGAAAGGCUUUAUUUUGACUUAUGGUUUGAGGGAACAGAUUCCAUCAUGGCCGGGCAGACAGUGAGUUCAUUCUCACGGGUGACAUCGAUGGCAGCAGGAAGCCAGAGUGCCAGAACUGAAGUUGGUGACUCACAUGCCUGGUGUGCUGGCUCUGAGGAUAUAAAGAUACAGUGACAGCCAAUGUGUGAAGCAAGAAGCUAUAGCUCUGUGGAGGAGACCAACAUCCACUCACUGGACAGCUCAAGAGAAGGGGCAAAGUCAACAGAAAGAGGGGUACAAAUGAAAGGGGUGCCUGAUGGUGAGGGACAGGAGUUCUGUGAAGCCGAGGUGAUGGGUAAAGUAUGAGAGGAAGCACGAUGAAUCGGGAGAAGAGAAAAGUCAGUGUGGACAGCCAUGUGCACACAACAAAGCCCAUCAGAAUCACUGGGAGGAAAACCUCCUGAGGCCAAGUGUACCUAUUUUGAUUUGGAAGUGGUUAGGCAUGGGGUUAUGCUGAUGUUAUCCUAUGUCAAAAUCCUUAAGCUACAGUCUUAAGAUUUAAGUAGCUUACUGUCUUCUUAAAAAAAUGUAUUUAUUUUUAUUAUAUGUAUAUUAGUGUUUGCCUACAUGUAUGCAUAUGUGCUGUGGACAUGCAGUAACUGCAGAGGCCAGAAGAGGGCAUCAGAUCACCUGGGACUGGAGUUACAGAUGGCUGUGAGCCCCCAUGCUCAAUCUUAGCCACGGAGCUACCUUUCCAGCCCUGUACUACCAUCUUGAAUCAAAGCUAAAUGUGGGCUCCAUCUUCCACCAAUCAAGUCAGACUUUGACAGGUACUCAGUGGAGAAGGUCAUUGUUGCAGGAAAAGAUUGUUUUGAUUGUCAUUUGUUUUGUUUUAAAUCUGCCCAUUUAAAGGUUAUACGUCGUCAUGUGUGUAUUUGUUUGUGUGUGUGUGUGUGUGUGUGUGUGUGUGUGUGUCUUAUGCAUGCAACUGCACAUUCACAUAUGCACAUACACUUGUGUAUGGAAGCCAAAGGUCAACCUUGCCAUCCUCAGUCAUUUUCUACUUUGUUUUGUUGUUGUUCAUUCAUUUGUUUGUUUGUUUGUGAAGAAACAAAGUCUCUUGAUUUUACCAGGGAUCCCCCAGUUGAGCCGGCCUGUCUGAUCCGUGAGCUCCAGGAUCCAUAUGUUUCCACUUCCCUGGUGCACACCACCACAUCUGACUUAACUGUGGGUUCUGGGGAGGGCUUCAAACUCAUGUCUUCAUGCUCAUGAGGCAAGCGUUGUUUCAACCGAGCCAACUCCCUAGGCCCUAAAGCAUUAUAUUUUAUGAUCUAGUAAAGCGAUUGAAUAAAAAUAACUAAGAUAUAAUGAAGGGUUUGUUAGUGCUCUUAAAAAAUAUCAUUGUCUCUAAUCCCUCAGGUUAUGAAGUAAAAUAAACUAAGUCACAGCCACGCUAUUCUAGAAGAGGGAACUUGGGUUUAGAGAGGUCCCUCUCUUGCCCCAGGGUAGAGUGCUAGCAGGAGGCAGAGCUGAGGGCUGUAUGCAGUGCAGGGAUGUGCUUAGCUCCUGAGAGAGAUUCAGACAGCAUCCUUUCUGAAGGGAAAUUACAAAAAUACCAUCCCAUAACUUUGGAAGCCCACUCCCCCACUGUGAUUCAGGCUCUAACAAUGUCUAAAAGACAGAGCCUCUGCUGCUACAGGGACAAUUUCUGCAACCCAGAAAGUCCGAAGUCAGCAAUGAUUAAAUUGCCCCUUGAAACACUUAGCCACUCACACGUCUCUUUGUCUUUGGGGUCUCAUCUCAGCAAUUCGUUUCGGCUUCCAUGUGCACCAGAACCUCAAAUCUGUCAUGCUGAGGAUGAGAGGAGAUACACUCCUAACAAGACCCUGGGCAGGGCUGGGGCUGCCCGCUGUCCUGACUUCCAAGGAGCCACAUUCUUCACGAGCAGGUAACGAAGCUCAUAGGAGCGAAAGGAAACCGUACAAAAGCAGAAAAUGACAAUUCAGAACCUGAGACCAUAGAGUGACGGCAUUAAAGGAAGCCCUCAAAGCCCUCAGCAAUGUAGCUGACAACAGAGAAAGGAUGACGCCUGAUAAAAAGGCCCAAGUAGAUGUUAUAAUAAGGACCCCUAUAUACAUACCACAGGCUAUAAAAUUAUGGUAGCAUUAAAAGUGAUAAUAUCAUAAUACCAUCAUGCCUGUGUAUAUGAGAUCCUGAGCAAUAUAAGAUGGGUCGCUUCAGCAUACAGCUAAUACUGCCUAGAAACACCAGGGAAAUAAGAACCACAUGUAAGAGGAAAAAUAUUUGCUUGGUAUUUCUGGAUCACCUCUCUUGCUGUUUGCAAGAGAGUAACCAGGGUUUCCGGCUGGCGGCUCAGCAGUUCUGUGCCCUCGGAGAACUCCGGUCUCUCUCCAGCCAGCCUCUGCUGCUGUGGCUGGAAAGUUAGUGUGAUAUUGCUCCCUCUUAUUCUUCAUUUCCCUGCUCUGUGCUGAUGGUCCUACAAUGGGCAAUGGGGGAGGGGCUCGGUUCCACUGUGGGGAAGAGCAGGAACUAGGUACAGCUUCUAAGGGAAGGGCAAUGUGGACAGAUGCCACGGUGGCCAUUAUUCCAGACAGAGGACCACAGAGCUAGGAUGUGCUGGGAAGUGUCUAUUCCAGACUUUUAAAUUCGAGGGAACUGGGAUUCAGCCAGAGAGCUGACUUAUAUGAAGCCCCACUGGCUUUGUGGCAGCGCAGGCAAAGUCUUUGCUCCAUUUGACACAAGGGUCUAGUCUAUCGAAAGCCCUUUCCCAGUCAUACUCUUAGAGCUACCCUCUGAAGACGCUAGGAAUGCGGCUCAAUUAGAACACUUUGCCAGCAUCUACGAAGUCCCGAGUUUGAUUCCUAGCAUUGCAUAAACCGACUGUGAAGGUCACAUUCCUGCAGUCCUGGUGCUUCGGAGGUAGAAACAGGGGGAUCAAAAUUUCCUGGGCCAUCCUCCACUACAUAGGGAUGUGGAGGUUAGCCUGGGAUACUCGAAACUCUAUCUUAAACAAAACAGAAACAAACAAACAAACAAACAGCACAUCAAAAGUAUCUCCUUUGUCUGUGAAAGCAGACUAUGAGGAUGGAAGGUCUUCUCCAACUUCCUAGGACAGAUGGUGGACUGGGUGAUUGGAAUCUUCCAGUACCCAGAAAAUCAUCCCCCAUACCAGGUAUGUGGUUAGAAGGCAAAGACGUCUAUGACGGCUCCAGUCCCCAAACUUGGCCACUCCUCUCUGCCCACGCCCCAGACAUGACCGGCAUGGUUAUUGAAUGAAAUAUAUUCCCAGAGCUCCAGGCAGACUUGUAAUGAGAAAAUUGAGACAAAGGGCUGAGGGUGUGUGGACCCUGGCAAGAAGCUAUAUUACAAAGGUAGGCCACUUUCACAUUCAUUUGCACAUUUUUCCUCAUAAGAAAAUUAGGCUUUAAUGUAACCUCAAUUCCAACCUUGUUGCUUUAUCGCCUAAAGCCCAUUACAGAGCGAUUUCCCAGGGCCAGAAACUUAUGAUUGGAGGUCAGGAGGCUGGGGUUUUAAUUGACUGGUGGCAGAACUUCUUUCUAGGGGGUUUCUGUCUUUACUCUGCCCUGGACUAAGUCACCAGCGAUGGGGGUGGGGUAUGUGGGCAGGAAGGAUUCCUUUUAACAGGCCAAAACCAAGGGCUGAGUUAAGUGUCCCUGUUGGAGGGUGGCAAAACAGAAACACACGUCACAAAGGCACAACUAAAGCCUGAGACGUGACCACUAGAAAUAAACAAAAGUGUGGACAGCUUGCCCUUUUCUCCCUUCCUCCUUACCCCCCACCCCCCAAGCUCAGUGUGAUGGGCCUCACUAUUUAACCCUGGCUAGCCUAGAACUCAUUAUGGUGACCAGGCUGAUCUUGAACUCACAGAGAUCUGGCAGCCUCUGGCUCCUGAGUUCUGGGAUUAAAGUUACCAGCUAGCACUAAACCUGUCAGGGAUCCCAUGAAGAUCCCCUAAAGAGUCUCCUGUGGCCCCCGAACCAUUCAUCUUCAAAUGCUCUUAGGUAAAGCUAAAUAAAUGUUUUAGUCAAUUGGCUGCAGGUCAGUAGGUAGGAUGUUGGUAAAAGAAGAGAUGCCUGGGUCCCCGCAUCCCUUCAGAGAUUCAGAACAGAACUGGUCUGGCGCAGGGUUGGGGUUCUGUGAUUUAGUAUCCUUAUCCCUAUGGGUGAUGUUGACCUUACAGGUCCGUUAGAUAAGCCUGUGAUAAGUCAGAUUCUCCAGGAUGCUCUAGUCUCUGUAAUGUCCUCCCGGCCCGUGUUCCCACCAGUGAAACUCAGUCCCUCCAGGUGACAAGCUGCUGUAAAGUCAGGAACUUUCCACUUUGGGCUAUGCCCAUAUCUUCUAAGUCUCAGCUUGUUCUACUAAACAAAAUUCUUAUCAGGCUUCAGCCUCCGGUGAUUCCAGGCAGACGGCCACCUGCAGCCAGAGGAAAGGUUUCCCUUCAUCUGCAUACCCCAUGCUUUCUUACAAAGCAGACUUGCUGGGCUACUCCCCUGGGCCAGCGCCCCCACCCCACCCCCGGGCACCUCUCAUCCUAUUAUGCAGUCGCACGGCUGGGCCUCCAUUCAGGUAUCUGCUCCUUUUCCUGGAAGCUGUUCCCUAUCAGGGCCCAGAGAUAAUGCAACAUGGGGGGAGAAAUACUAUUUUUGUAUUCAGGUGGGUACAGCGUGUAAUAAUUCAUGCUGCUGGGUUUUGUUUCCUAUAUAUUUGGACCCUGACUGCAGUCUCCCUCCAGGCAGGAACAAAAUGGAUAUCCUGGGAGAUAUCAGAGGAGGCAGACCUGUGAUUCAUGCCAAUUCCAGCACCUUCUCUGCCAGCCUCCACCUCAGAAAGGAGUGUGGUGUUAGCCUCAUAGUCUUGACCUUUCCGGAGGAAACUCAGGCAGACCCAAGGUCCAAACGGUGAACCAGAGGCUGGCUCUGCAGCAGACACAUUCCAGAGAAGAAUAUGCACAUUGUUUCUGCUAUGAGCAAUUCUCUAAAAGCCAGGUCUUUGCCUGGAUUCGACUAUUUUUGUGUGUGUGUUGUUGUUGUUUUGUUUUAUUUUUCUCAUAACCUUUCUGUAAUUCCUUUCCUCUUCACAUCUGGACUGGGCACAAUAGAACUCCCAUUCUAACCCAUCCUGUGCUGCCAAGGAGCCUUGAAAUGAACUCUAAGCAGAGGUAAGCCCGGCUCUGGGCCUCAGUUUCCCCAUAUGAUAAGAAGACCCACUUCCCUGGAGAUUGGCUAGCCUUCCAUCUGAAUUCAAAGACUAUAACAGAACUCUUUCUUUAUGCCACGCCAUUCCUCAAGCUGAUUUUGUAGCCUUUAGGCUAUGAACACCCUCAGUAUCUCCCCUUCCCCCAGACAAUCUGUCCUCAUUUACCCCUGCGGGAGAAAGGAGGGGGAGGAGGUGGUUUUUCAUGGAGGGAACCAAAAGGAUUUUGUUCUACUUUUUCUUUUCUUCUCUCUCUUUCUUUCCUUCCUUCUUUCUUUCUUUCCUUCUUUCUUUCUUCCUUUCUUUCCUUUCUUUCUUUUUUUUUUUUUGCAUUGUCAACUCUUCCUUUAACAGUAGAAGUGAAAUCAAAUUGGCUGUAAAACGUAAGACUGCCUCUUUUUAAAAAUCCAUUAGAUGUUAUAUUUUACACCUAUUAACAUUAAUGUUCCUAUCAAAAGCCAGUCACCUCAGUGUCAAGAGAUCUGCAUCAUAUGAGGGGCGUAUACCACAAACUCGAGCACUAGUCUCCGGUACACUGAGGUCAGCUCAGUGAGUUUCAUAUUUAUCAUCCUUGGUAUUUCAGGCAAUAAGAUGGUGUUGGUCCACAGACCAGGACUGGUGUGGCCGUUCACCUCAUGUGAGGUCAGGUUUCUUCUGGUCACAGGAGAAUCACCACAGGGUUCCUACGAGUGGACACAGAUGGAUGAUCUAAUGUUGUUAAAUGCCUGCUGAUUUCAGCUCAAGCCAAACCCAUCCAGUGACUGUGACUGUCAGCUCACACUGGACAUCUUAGGAUGAAAUUUCAUCCCAGAGGGGAGGUCUACCCUUCCAGUUUUUUUUUUUUAAUUAGACAUUUUCUUUAUUUACAUUUCAAAUGUUAUCCCCUUUCCUGGUUUCCUCUCUGAAAACCCCAUCUCCUCCCCUCUCCCCCUGCUCACCAACCUAUUCACUCCUGUUUCCUGGCCCUGGAAUUCCCCUACCUAGGGCAUAGAGCCUUCACAGGAUCAAGGGCCUCUCCUCCCAUUGAUGACCGUCUAGGUCAUCCUCUGUUGCAUAUGCAGCUGGAGCCAUGAGCCCCACCAUGUGUGCUCUUUGGUUGGUGGUUUAGUCCCUGGGAGCUCUGGGGGUUGUUCCUCCUAUGGGGCUGCAAACCCCUUCAGCUCCUUGGGUCCUUUCUCUAGCUCUUUCAUUGGAGACCUUGUGCUCAAUCCAAUGGUUAGCUAUGAACAUCUACUUCUGUAUUUGACAGGCACUGGCAGAGACUCUCAGGAGACAGCUAUAUCAGGCUCUUGUCAGAAAGCUCUUGUUGGCAUCCACAAUAGUGUCUGGGUGUGGUGGUUGUAUAUGGGAUGGAUCCUCAGGUGGGGCAGUCUCUGGAUGGUCCUUCCUUCAGUCUCUGCUCCACACUUUGUCUUUGUAACUCCUUCCAUGGUUAUUUUGUUCCCCCUUCUAAGAAGGACCGAAGUAUCCACACUUUGUUCUUCUUUCUUCUUGAGUUUCAUGUGGUUUGUGAAUUGUAUCUUGGGUGUUCCAAUAUCCACUUAUCAAUGAGUUCAUACCAUGUGUGUUCUUUUGCGAUUGGGUUACUUCACUCAGCGUUCCCUUUUGAAUCAGAGGGCUAAAGAGAUGAUGUCAGUGAAUAAAGUGCUUGCCACAAAAGCAUGCUGACAUGGGCUAGCGCCCCCAGAGGCCAUAUAAGAAAGCUGAGUGCAGGAACACACACUGCCAGCCCAGGGCUCCUAUAGCAAGAUGGGAUGAGGAGACAGGAGGAUCGCGCAAGCUCCUAGCCUGCUUGCCUGCAUGCAGUGCUUAAAAAGCUCCAAAGACUCACGGUUGUCCUCUGACGUCCAUUUUCACGCAAUGUCAUGCAUGCAUUACACCAUCAGUCACACAAAUACAAUUCCUGGCAGGAAUUCUCAGCAAAGGCCCUAGAGGUAAUUUUGCUAAGUUAGUUUUAUUUUGUGAGUAUGCCUUGCCUGCCUGUGAAUGCACAUACCAUGUGGGUGCAAUUUCUGUGGACUCCAAAGGAGGGCACUAGAUCUCCAGGAACUGGAGUUAUGAAUCGUUGUGAGCUAUCCUGUGGGAUACUAGGAAGCAAACCCUGGUCCUCUGCAAAAGCAGCAAGUCCUCUGAAUCUUGCAGCAAUCUCUCCAGCCCCUAGCAGAUGCUUUUUUAAUUGAAGCACUCCUCAGUUCCACGAGCGCAUCUUGAAAAAAUGAGUACACGUAAACAGUAGGGAAAUAUCUACUUUUUAAGCCAUAGGAUAACACCAGUUGACACAAGGAUUAUCGCUGUGAUCUCUUCAAAAACACCUAUUGCAUUAACUCAUGGAUGGGCAGCUGUGCACCAGUGCUGGGAAGACAUCUGGUUACUUGUCUUUAGACAGCACUUCUGCUGAGGACCUAAGACUAAGACCUUGGCUAAUAGAAGCACCCUUCAGUCAACAGCCAUACCUGGAAGCCUCUUGUCUUCUCAAACGUCUGCCCCAGGUUUACAUAAGUAUCCACAACACGUAAACAGUACAUAUGCUCAGAGUACAGUGUGAUGUUUUGGCGUGUGCAUCCACUGUAAAGUGACUGGAUACAGUUAAUUGGCAUACCCAUAGCUUCACACACACAUACCCUAUUUUCUUAAUUUUUUUUUUUUUUGGUGUUAAGUUGACUAAAAUCUACUCUUGCAAUGUUCAUGUUCAAAGGACAUCAUUACCCAUGACAGCCACCAUGCUGUGCAGUGCUACGUAGAGUGCCUUCAGUCUAACAAACCCCGAGCCUUUCUCGUCUCACUCAUUUCCUCUCUUAUCUCUUAUAAUUUGUUCAGUGUUUUAAUGCUGUCUUGUGUGUUUGUGUGCACCUGUAUGUGAAAGACAGUGAGAGAAAGAGAAAGCAAGGUACAGAAAGAGAGAAUGUGUGUGUGUGUGUGUGCAUAUGUGUGUGAGAAAUGGGGAAAGAGGAAGACAAAGACAAAGAGAAUGUGUGUGCAUUUGUGUGUGUGUGUGUGUGUGUGUGUGAGAGAGAGAGAGAGAGAGAGAGAGAGAGAGAGAGAGAAAGAGAGAGAGAGAGAGAGAGAGUUGAGAGCCUGCAUGCAUGCAUCCUUGCGUCAGUGCAUGUGUGUGAGAGAGUGUGUGAUAGGUUCCCAUGUAACCCAAGCCAGUUCAAACACACUUUGGAGGCAAAAGUGACCUACUAUCUCCUGCCAACUCCUGAGUGCUAGAAUUACCUGCACCAUUUUGCAGCCCUGGGGAUCAAACCAGCCCCUCCUGCACACUUGUGAAGGCCCUCCCUCUUCACACCAAGCCCCUCCUGCACGCUUGUGAAGCCCCUCCCUCUUCACACCAAGCCCCUCCUGCACGCUUGUGAAGCCCCUCCCUCUUCACACCAAGCUCCUCCUGCAUCCUAGUGAAGCCCCUCCCUCUUCAAACCAAGCCCCACUCCUUAUGUCGUUGUUUUCAAAUAACUAGUGACAUGAGGACUGUGAAGCCUGAUACUUGUAAAAUCAUCAAUAACCCAGGCAUUUAUGUCCCUCGUGUGUCAUGUCCUACUCUUGAAGUAGAUCUGUUAAGUGCCAUGAACUAGCCCAUCAGAUAAGUAAGCAUGCCUAUCCCAUUGUACAGAUGACAGAAUUAAGACUUCAGGACCCAGGAACAUUUCCUAGGACUCCAUGACACACUGCCCAGGAUCUGUCCUCAAACCUGUGCUGCUGGAGUGAGACACAGAGAAAACAAAACAAAACAAAACAAACCACUAACGACUUUGUGUGCUAAGUUAAUAAACUAAAGCAAACGACAUCACCGUGUGCGUUUUAUUCUUCCAAUAUAUUUUUGGUGGAAAACAAAUUGCACUGGGAGAGGUACUGUAUAAUUUCAUUUGGAGCAUUGUCCUUCUGGUAGAAGCAAACUGAAAUACACACACACACUAAAAUCUGAUAGCAAUUAAAAUCCAAUUAUAAAUAUAUUACUAUAUUAGACACCUACCCAGGAACCAUCCAGCAGGGGACCUCCUUGGAAAGGCAGUGUGUCACAGUCUUCAAACUGCUUCCAUGUGUACUUCUGGCUGUGUGCCCCUUGACCUUGAGCCUGCAUUACACAAUGCCUGGAAGCCUAUCUCCAAGAGGGAAAGGAUUCGAUUUAUGUCACAUGAUGGAGUGACUUUAAUAAUGCUGUUAUGAAUUUAUUUUUGAAGAUGAUGUGUGAGGAAUAUUAAAACGUCUUGGAGAUUAUUAAACAAAUUAAACAUAUCACUGAAACUGGAGGUAUUCAGGGGACGAGUUUCUGUGAGGUCAGGGAACAUGGGGUUACAAGGAAUGUCAUUGUGCGGCCUUGACACCUUUUAGGUCUUUUGCACAAAAGAUUUAAAAUUCGACUGUCUUGAGAUGUUUAGCAGAUGCUUAUCCAAGGAAACGGGCAGUUCCCUGUUGUGGGUUGGCGAUGUAGGUCACAAAUAGGUGGUCCACACCUUUAAUCCUGGCACUCAGGAGGUAGGAGCAGGAGGGACAGAGGUCAAGGUCAUCCUCGACCUUGGCUGCAUAAGGACUUAAAGUUUAAAGGAGACCACCUCUAUAAACAGACAGACAGUCAGAAGAUAGACAGACAGGGAAACAGGCUGCUCCUCUGCUAAAAGCUCUUUCUUCCCUUGCAUGCUCUGCAAACCAAAUAAACAGCAGUCUUAAAGGGGCAGCAGGUCUGACGACCCAGGCCUUUUGUCUUGUUACCUCCUAGAUGAUAUGCAUGGCUGACAUUUAAGUUGAUUUCCUUUAAUUUGACAGAACAUUUCCAUGACAGAGCUCAGGUUCCCAAUGUUUUCCAAUAGCUGUCCUUAAGCUCAUUUGUCACCAUGUCAGGGUCAUCAGGACAAAUCGUCACUGCAGCCCCAUGCACCUGCCCAGCUCUCAAGAAAGCACGCAGGCCUUGGGCUGGAUCUGGAUAGUUUUAAUUUAUACAGAUGUCUUAAGGGCCAGCCGUGGGACUCCCACCGUUUUGUUUUAAGUGUCUGGCAUGGACUACGAGUCCACACCAUGUGCACCUACUUCUUACAGCCAUAGACAGGUGCUAAUUAAUCUACCUAAUUAUGAAGCCACUGGAAAGAGGCUUACCCGUAAGAUUCUAAAUCUGGAAGAAGAAGGAAAAAAAGAAAAAGAGGAAAGAGGAAAGGGAGGGAAAUGAUUUUGGUAUCACACUCAAAUACAAUUUCAGCAGUCAGCUUAUAUAUCUUCCCACUCAAGUUAGACAGAUUCAUGCUUUCCUCUAGAUCAGAAUUAUGUUCCCCUGCACACGUGUGUGUGUGUGUGUAUACUUCAGAGUUCUAUUUGAAAAACACUCUGGAAAAAUGCUUAAAAGACAGAAUUAUGUUCUGUUUAUUUUUUAAGCUAUGUGCAUGCGCGCGCGCGCGCGCGCGCGCACACACACACACACACACACACAGCCAAACAGUAUAUAAACUUAAGAUCAGUCCCUUGAAAUGUGCAAGACCCCAAAUGAUGCUGUAAUUCAAGCAUGUUCUUGUUUGCAGUUAAGCACUUAAGGGGCCAGUCAGUGGAAUUCCCUGGGCAUCCAUACAAAUGAAUAUAAUUACAGAUACCAUGAACACAGACCUAGUAGGCCGCUGAUUAUGGCUGAUAACUCAGGGACACUGGGAGAGAGAAUUCCUGGGGAGUGCCAUCAUUUGGGCCCCAGGAACUCUUUUGUCUUUUCAGCUUUGAGGAAGGGCUGAGAGACUUUCUUCAAUACUGGAUCACCAGGGAUAGGUGUGAAACUUGUGUGUGUGUGUGUGUGUGUGUGUGUGUGUGUGUGUGUGUGUGUUGGAAGGAAAAGGACUGUCUAAGGAUUUUCCCCAGGGAACACAGUGAUCCCAGGGGCUGUGUUCUCUCCAGGCAUAAUCCAACACUGGAAAUCCACCCGGAGUGAGAGAAAGAAGGUGGGGGGAUGAAGGUAGUCAGGCGGAGGGAUGGCUCACCCCGCUCCACACACAGCUUACAGGGCUCCACAGCAACACGGGUUGGGCCUUCUUCCCAUCCCUUUCAUGCAUGCCCUUAGCCCUUUACACAAUAAUAACUCGCUGUCACAAAUUAAAAGAGCUAAAAAGAAUUUUAGAUGAAUAAUUUAGGAAUUCACACGUCUCCUUAACACUAAAUGACUUUCCAGCUGGGCAGAAAAUCAAAACCUGCAUCUGGAGAUUUUACAAGGCACGGGGAAAAUGCUUUUACUCUUUAUGUCACUCCUGUCUUAAAGAUGCUUUCCCUCCUUCCAGAUCCUGACCUCCUAGGUCAAGAAGGUCAUGUCCUUUCAAGAAGUGCAGAAAUUGGGUACCGCUGCUGAUUUGAGGGAAAAGAAAGAAGGAGGCAAGGGGGUUCAGGGGAACAACAGAAAAGAAGAGAGGACUCGGGAGGCAGAGGCAGGCGGAUUUCUGAGUUCGAGGCCAGCCUGGUCUACAGAGUGAGUUCCAGGACAGCCAGGGCUACACAGAGAAACCCUGUCUUGAAAAACCAAAAAAAAAAAAAAAAAAAAAAAAGUAGAAAAGAAGAGAGGGAGGAGAGAAAGCAAGCGGAAAUGUUAAACUAUAAUGUAUUCAAACGAUGUGCUCAGCAUCUCCAAGGCCUUUGGUUGCCUACCUGGGGUGAGGGUGGGGUGGGUGAAUAAAAUGGACAAGGAAAUAAAUGGAUCCAAAGCUCUAGAUUCUUCUCUAAAGUCUUCAGAGCUUCAGGAGACACUAAAGGAUACACACACACACACACACACACACACACACACACACGUACGCACGCAAGCACGCGCGCACACACACACACACACACACACACACACACACACACACAGAGAGAGAGAGAGAGAGAGAGAGAGAGAGAGAGAGAGAGAGCUACUGUCUGAACCUCCUUGGCUCCCACCUUCAGUUUCUAAUCUUCAGAUCUUAUCUGCAAUUUAAGGACACUCAGACAGAGCAGAACAACUUAGGGACAGGCCACUGCUUCUCCUCAUUCUCCGGUAGGAGAAACCUCAGGAGAGAUGUCUGACCCAGAAGGUGAUUCACAGUUAGCUAAGAAGGCUUCUCAGGCAUUGUGUCUCCUCAGAGUUUCUGAGCAAUCCCGUGUACACUGACACUGUACACGAGAGUUUCUGCUUAUAAGCUCCAAGUUGUUCUCCCCACAAGGGAACUCCCUCGUCAUAUGUCCCUUCCCUCUUGGAAAGGGUAAAGGGAAGUCAAUGGGGAAUGGAAGAAAGAAGGAGUACCAAUAUCCUCAGAAGCCUUCUUGUCUCUUAUCACUUAAAGAAUCUCUGCACUGCCUGUUGAUGCCACAGUUCACCACUCUAGGGAUGUGUGAUGAUGUCAGAUACACCAGCAUUGGCACCAGGAUGCAAUGGCCAGAGUUUCAUAAAAUGCAGGCCACUCAGGCUUGCUCUGAAAGGCAUCUGACAAAUUCACUUGUCGUGACCGAUGACAUUAUUUGGCUGCAUAUGAUUUGAGAGCUCUAGGAGGAAAAAAAAAUCUGUUCCAAGCACAUUUCACAGGUAGAAAUGAAGGGAAGCCCAGGGAGGCCAGGAUCCAAACAGAACCCUUUGUGGUGGUUUGGGGGACGGUUGUUCAUGAAACCUGGGUUGAAAUUAUGUUCCUACCAGUCGGUUGCUAAAAAUAUCCCAAGGAAGCAAUUUACUCUCAUUCAGGCCUGAUUUCCUUCUCUGUAAAAUGGAGAUAAAGAUAUCUAAGCAUAAAGUGACUUAAAUGAGGACGAGACAGGUCGUGCUUGGCACAGCGCUGGAGCCCAAGUACUCAGGACCUGAAGUUGUUGUUGGCAUGAUCACUGCUAAAAUAUACUCCGGAAUGGGCUCUCCCUGUAAUUUCUUUCAAUUUAUUUUCUUUGUGUUUAAAUGUGUGUACAGUUAAAUGCUGGGGCACAUGGGGAAAUGGGAGGAGAGAGAGGAAGUGAAGAGAUAGGAAGAAGAAGAGGAAGGUGAAGAAGAAGGUGAAGAAGAGUCGGUGAAGGAGGAUUAGUAACUGGAGGAAGAGGAGGAGGAGGAAGAGCUCACGUCCUUCACCGUCAUCCUCAUCACCACUAACACCGAGCUGUGUUUUAUAAACAGUUCUUCCACAAUAGUGAGGCCAGAUCUUCUGUCUCAAAUAUAAAAACAUUCCUAAUACUGCAUGCUGUGAGCUGCACAAAGAGUACCCACUAUAGCAGUAGGCAAAACUAUAGAUCUUCUUAGAUAACAUCCACUCAGAGUGCUACAACUGGCAAAAGGUUCCGUUUGGACAGCACUUGUGCCCUUGACAACCACUAAUAUUCCUGGCCCCUUUCUUUCAUGGGAGCCAUUUCAAUAACUUGUCUGGUAUUCUGUUUUGGUUCCUGCUUAAAACCCAGCCCCCCCCCAAAAAAAACCCAAAAAAACAAAACAAAACAAAAAACCCAAUAUUUGAUUGUAUUUAUCCACUAAUAAUCAAUCAAUGCUAUUUUGAGAAUUUCCAAAUUGCUUAAACCUGACCUCAUUGUUCAAAAGACUUCUGGGUAAUUGAAACAACACUUGCUAGGGCAAGGUGACAUGAGGGUUUCCCUGGGAAACACAACUGCAGACUCUUAGGAAGUUACUUGCUUGUAUUUAGGGGCUUGAUGGGGGUACUCAAGGGAACACAGGGAGUUCUGACCAUUGUACUCACCAGAAAUGCUGGGGAGGAAGGACGCAGGAGAGCACAGGGGCUGGAACUCCUCACGAAAAAGCCUGAAGAACUCAGAUCUACUUCCCACUCCCUGUCUAGUCAGUUACCAGGAAAGAUGUCACAACUUCAGCUUGACUUUGUCUAGGGGUAAAAAGCCACUGAGCAAAGCCUGUAGACAGCAGGGUCAGGUAGAGUGGUGCCUAAUGAGACAUAUACUGAACUGUGCCCAGGAGGAUGCUCGGUUCUCCAUCCAUAGGCAGGGGAGAUUCCAUUCAGAAAACCAGUCCUGAAAACUAAAUGAGCAGAUAGACGCUGUGACCCAGGGGACUUGGGACAAUGUGUGUGGGAUGCAUCCUCUGACCAGUCCCUACCGCCUCCCUCCAUCUGUCUCCCCUCCUCUUCUCUUUUGAAAGUAGAAAUCAGAUUUGUAUUCAAGCCUCUAAAAAGAGGGAAUUUACUCCCUAAUCUGUCUAUUCUUGGUAUAAAACAGGAGCACACAUUCAUUGAAAUGCGUAAUUGAGAGUGAUUUACAAAGACUGCCAUUCCAGAGAAAUACAUUCAACUCCAUCUCCCUAAAGCACAGCCACAUUAAAUGCUGGUAUCUACACGUGUCAACAGGAAAAAUUAUUAGAGUUUUAAUUUCUCAUUGUAGAUGUUUGGGUGAUCAAUAAAGCACAGCCUGCAUCAUGACAAAAGAGGGCCACUCAGCAAAGCAUCGUCAUCAGCUAGAUGGCCACUGUGCUUCUAAAUUUUCCUUCCAUGGCCAAAAAAAUAAAUCACCCUUGUCCCGAUUUGAAAGCCAUAGACUAUCCCCAUUCUGACUGUUUUCCUUCUUUAUAAUUUUAUUUUUAAUUACCAAACCUCAUGAUAGAUAAUAUCAUGUCAAUAGAUAAUUAAUGUCAAAAGAUGAAUAAUGAAAACAUAAAUUCUAACAUGCUAUAAUUACAGUUCAAGAAAAAACCCAACAAGAGUGAAAUGCAAUAACUCAGGACUGGUUCGUUAGCUAUCAUAAGUACAAACAGGACUUGCUUUCACAUCCUCUCAAUGUCUGCGAUAACAGGACCGCUGUCGGAGGGCAGGCAGGCUUAAAGAAAACAAAUACCACUUUGCCUCCUCCUCCUUUAGAAUUAAGGUCAAACUGCACUGCAGGCCAGGGACCCCAGCCCAUCCAUUGGGUACCACCAUUGGCUUAGUACAUUUACGUGGCUGACUUGUAUAAAAAUGAGCUGCUCUUGCCUUCAACAAUUUCAUAAAUACAAAGCACCGACCCCUCCCACUGCAAAACAAAACAAGACCAAACAAACAAAAAACCUCCUGCUAUAUACCUCUUUGUAUCAAAACGAAACACUCACGCCUGUGCAAUCUGGCAGUAAAUAAAAAUAGCCCGCUUUUUAUUAGCUCCAUCCAACUAUGGGAACAUAAUCGUUUAGUAAUAACUGAAUGUGCCCCAAAAGGUAGACUCUCUGCAACUAAAGCUGAAAAUAUCAGAGGAUGUGAUGGAAACCAGACCUUUGGCUUUGGCUUACCCCCAAAAGGUUUUCUUUUUCAAAAGAAAAUAAAAAGGAAAUACUUAUCCAAGCUAAAAUAUGUGCAGUAAUAAAUAGUACACAAGUUUCUCCACAGUAACUGCUAGUGUCCCCGGUAAUAACUUCAUAAACUGUCCUACAAAUGUACAGCUUAGAUGUAAGGAUACCGCUGUAGUAAGUUAAAGAAAAAGAUUAAAUGUACCCUUUCAGCUAGCUCACAUAACCACCUUCUUCUUCUUCUUCUUCUUCUUCUUCUUCUUCUUCUUCUUCUUCUUCUUCUUCUUCUUCUUCUUCUUCUUCUUCUUCUUCUUCUUCUUUGUUUUGUUUGUUUUUUGUUUUGUUUUCGAGACAGGGUUUCUCUGUAUAGUCCUGGCUGUCCUGGAACUCACUUUGUAGAACAGGCUGACCUUGAACUCAGAAAUCCGCCUGCCUCUGCCUCCCAAGUGCUGGGAUUAAAGGCGUGCGCCAUCACUGCCUGGCUCACAUAACCUUCUUAUUGUAAAGACAAACUAAAAAUGACCCAUAGCACAAAACAUGUACACAAGCAACCCAAAGAACAGGAAGGCUGCUGACUGCUGAGAAAAGGCAGGCAAAGCCAGGAGAAGGAGUGGGCCACUAGUCAAAUAUGCCAGGGUGAGCAAAGGCAGAGAGAUACUUCAGGGUCUCCUGCAGGGCCUCUCAGCUGAGACCACAUAUACAGAUGAAGUCACUAGGUAAACAUCCAGUCAUGUGAUGAAAUUUACUGGCUCCCCUGGUGUCACAUCCAAGUGGUUCUCCUGAUGUUACAUCCAAGUAGAUCUCCUGGUGUCAUAUGCAAGGCUCCAUUUUUAGUUCCACCCCGGAGCACAGCUUAGGUGCCAUACAAUGGAGAUAAAUCUCUCACUGUCACACUAUACUCAGGCUCCCCAGUCUCUUUAAUAUCUCAUCAAAGUGUAUCUGGGAGGAAAGCCCAGUGUGUUUGUUAAAGCCAUAGCCUGGCUUUCUUCAUGAGUAAGGUUGAUUGUUGCAGGACUGGGUAGGCAGAUCAUUGGCUCAACUGUGAAUUACUAAGAAAGUAUCUCUGGACAUCUUCCUUCCAGCAUGAGACCUUACACUUAGCACCCACAGCGAACCAGUCCGGGUUCUAGAAGGAUCAGACCUACUGUUAAUCUGUAGAAUGUACGCAGCUAUGCAACCUGUCUUGAGCCGUUGCCUUUUGCUAUGUAAGGAAGACCACGUAGGCUUAAGGAAGAACAGAUACCACAGCGUUCAGGUAGGAAAGCGACCAGCAUGCAGCAUCAUGAUCUGUGCCUGGUCCCUCGUUAGCACAUACAGUACCUCACAGGCUCUACCAGGCAGGAGCAAAAUGAUAGGCGCAGGGAGAUCCCAAGGAACAAAAAGUCUCUUCGUUCUGUUCACCAUCCAGCCAUGGGUAAGCCACUGAGCGAAGAUUCCGAUCUUCGCCCUCUUAGGUAAGAACAAUAGAAAGCCAACUGAUGCUCCAAGUUUGGAUUAAAGAAUUCUAAGGUGACUGAACACACAGUGUCAUUUUCAAUUCUCAGACAUGGUUUGGUUGUGCUUAGACCAUCUAAUGGCUCCCAAGCUAGGUUGGGAUGUAUGUGAUGGCCACACCUGGGGACAUUUCAGAGAUGUAUGGACUUUCAGCGGAGUAGGGACCUAUUUCCAUCAAGACUCCUUUCUCUCACUAUCCAGUCUCUAUGGCUUCUGUUCAAAAAACAAAACAAAACAAAACAAAACAAAACAAAACAAAACAAAACAAAACAAAACACUGUCCAGUCAACCACUGUCCUAAAAAAAAUUCAAUCAGCAUACCAUGGAAGGUGAUUUGUGUCUCUAAUAGUAAAGAAUAAUAAUGAAAAAAAUUGAAUCAUCUACUAAGAAGUACAUAUUAAAAUCUCUUCUGGUUUUGAAAGUAGUUUUAAAUAUAUAUUCAACCAGAUGUGGUGUGUUCUCGUGUUAAGACGUCUGUAUGCAGCAGCUCAAUGCUCACCUUGGCUUUUGAGAGUUCACAUGAAAGCCAAGAGUCUAGUCUGGAUUAAUAAGCAGCUACUUAAAAAAAAACUCAUACAAUAUAUCCUGACUGCAGCUUCCCCUUCCUCCACUACUGCCAGCCCCUCCCAUCUCUCCCAGCUCCCCCCACUUCCCCCUACCCCCCUCGUUCCCCUAUCCCCCAGAUCUACUGACCACCCACUCCCUGACACACCAUCAUCUCCUCCCAGAAAAAAAAAUCAGGUCUCCCGGGGACAUCAAUCAAAAUGGAACAGCAAGAAACAAUAAAACAGGCCAAAGGCUCAUAUCAAGGCUGAAAAAGGAUACUCAGUAGGAGAAAAGGGGUCCUAAAAGCAAGCAAAAUAGUCAGAGAUACCCUUACGUCCACUGUCAGGAAUUCCCCUCCCAAAACACCAAGCCAGCAACCACAACACAUGCAGAGGCCCUAGCACAGACCCAUGCAGGCUCCAUGAUCCGACUUCAGUCUCUGUGAGCCCCCACGAGCCCUGCAGAGUUGAUUCUGCCAACGAGCUACUUUUUAAAGAUGGAGGCCUCCCUCUCAGAGAAACAGAGACCCAAAGAACAACAGAACCGGUGAUCAGACUAAAAUUUAAUGAAGAAGCACCCCAUUUUCUUACAAAUUCCACAAAUAUAUGUAGAGUGCAUCAAACAGUGCUAUGAGCCAACAUCAUUUUGAUUAACUUUAAUACCUAGUGAUUAAAAAGAUUAAUUUCAAACACUACCUUGAGCUGGGGAAAUGACUCUGGAGUUAAGAGUACUUCUGCUCAUGUAAGAAUCCAGAGUUCAGUUCUCAGCACGCACAUCAGGUGGGCUCCAGGGGCUCUGAUGCCCUCUUUUGGCUUUAGAAAGUAGACACAUCCACAGACACAUGGCCUACCCACACACAAAUAUACAUACACAUAAAUAAAAAUUAUGAUAAAAUUGUAUUUUUAUAAUUGAUUUAUACAUUAUAAUUUGCCUUUUAAAAUUAGUAUAGUCAUUUCUUUUUAAUCUGGAAUCAAGUAGCCCAAAAGCACCCAGGUCAGAGUCCCCAGUCCUCCCCACGGGCCAGAAGCACGUGUGGUGGGGACUUGCUGACCUAGCUCCACGGCACUGGACCUUUCCUUGCUGACCCCAGAGCGCCAUGGUACUGGACCUUUCUUGUGUGUAGGCUGAGAAUGCAAACGGAAGUCUUCAAAAAGCACAAAGUGUAAGCACCUGCCUCUUUUUUUUUAUGCCGAUAGUUAUUUUUCUUCUUGAUAUUGUUUUGUUUUUACCAAAUGUUCCUGUUAAAUGUUUGCUUUAACAAAAAAUGUUUUUACUGUUACCAGUUUCUAUCAUAACUCUGUAGAAAUAGUAUGAUAUUUUCCACUUACAGCAAGUGCAGACACAGCCUACUGAUGAAGCCUAUCUUGUUCCCCAAAGGGUGAGAAUAAUACCCAAGUGUGAGAGAGAGUUUUCUCAUGCUUGGAUGCUAUUCUCAAAAUUGCAAUGUCAGAGACUUGUACUGCCUCCUUAAAUCACACACACACACACACAGACACACACAUACAGACAGACAUACACAUGGACAUACAUACAGACAGGCAUACAGAGACACACAUACAUACAGACACACACAGACACGCUCAUACAGUCAGACAGACAGACAGACAGACAGACAGACACACACACACACACAGAUAGAGAGAGAGAGAGAGAGAGAGAGAGAGAGAGAGAGAUCAGCAAAUCGUAAAACCAUGCAGCUAGACAUUUAAUUCCUAAAGCUUCUUUUAAAGAGACCAGGAAAGCAGAGAUCAGGCCCAUUGGAACAGUGGGGGACAGGUAAACUGAGGGACAGUAGAACAGGCAAUGGGUACCUAGUGAUAGUGGGGCUCAGACCAGACACAUGAUCUUACAUUGAAACAGAUAAAAGGACCACCCCUCAAAACAGAGCUAAACUGAACUUAGCAUUUUAAAAUUUGAAAUGUAUGCUUACACGCAUGCCACGCUUGCUGAACAAUCAAUUUGCAUUGCAUUAAAUUAACGUGGUAAUGGAUAGCUAUAAAAUCACACAUUUCAUACAUUAAAUUUAAUGAUGAAAUAAUAGGCAAUAAUAAGUUUCCCAUUCCAAUAUAAAUACCAAUCAGUAAAUGCACUCAAAAAUAACAAAUAACUUUAGGCAUCCCAUUUCUGGGGGGGUGACAGUCUUCAAGGAGAACCAUAUAAACUGGGACAUCAUUGUCCGAGAUGACAAGUUAUUAGCCUAGAAAGAGACAUACACUGGGCUGGUAACCUGCAACAUCGGCCUACUGCAGGCCUCUCUGGGCUUUAUUUACAUUGAGCAAUUUGGGAAAUUGAAUACGAGAUUAUCUUUAUUUUUGGCAUGCUCUUCCUAAAUCAACCACUUAUGGUUGAGGGAAACUGCCACCACCCAUGCUUGGAGUAGGAUUAGAGCAAAGGUGGCCAGUUCUUGGUGAGCCAAGAAAGUGAGAAACAUAUGUAUUUGGUAUUUAAGAUUCAUUUGGGCUUUUAAAUUCAACAACACGAUUUAUUUUUACUUGUUUUUCCCCCCUCUCUAAUUAUCUAUGUGCAUGAGACAGUUUUUUUUUUAAAAGCACUUUAAAAAGUGACUCACAUAGACGUGGGAUGGAGCGAGAUGGUUCUUCGUGUGCUGAAUGAGCUGUGAAUAACGAUUUUCAGAGGUUUUUAGACGCCACACAUACAGAAACUCCACGGAGGCAGGUUGGCCAGCGUGAGCCCCCAGGGAAAGAAGACCAUCCAGAAACGGCUCUGUGUGCCUUGCCUGCCGGUUUUAAGAGUGAUCUCUGGAAAUCCUUUGAUGAGGUGUGUGAGUUUUAAUACUUCAAGAAAUCCAGGUCCCUUUGAACUGCCAUUAGCAGGACACCUCCCAAGCACAGGAAAGUGUGAUCAUGGAGCACAUACAGAGGGGCUUGCUCUGCAUAGCCUUGGCUAUGUUCCAUGGCACCCUGGGGUCACCAAGAUGCUACACAAUGCUUUGGUUGGUAGAAGAAUUCUACCCCCACACAAUACACACAUACAGAAUAAAUGUUUAGCUAAUACUGGACUUCACAAAGUCCAGUAGGUCUAGGCUUUGUUGUUGUUGUUUAAGAUUUAUUGUUAUUUUACGUAUAUGAGUACAUUAUCACUGUCUUCAAACACAUCAGAAGAGGGCAUUGGAUUGGAUCUCCAUUACAGAUGGUUGUGAGUCGCCAUGUGGUUGCUAGGAAUGGAACUCAGGACCUCUGGAAGAGCAGUCAGUGCUCUUGACCGAUGAGACACCUCUCCAGACCCUAGGAUUUCUUUUUAGGACUUACCUUUAAUAUGACAACAAGCACCAGGAAACCACAAGUGUCAGAGUGUAUCAAAAAAAAAAUCUAGAAUUCAAACCCAAAAACUAAAUAAAUAAAUUACAAGAAAAAAAUUAAAGAUGCCCUCCCCAGAAGCUUUGUUUGCCCUGAAAUUCUUAGCUCCAUCUCUCAAGUUUCCUUUUAAAAUAUAACAAAAGUGGCUGGAGAGAUGGCUCAGCAGCUAAGAGCACUAGUUGCUCUUAUACAGGACCUGAAUGCAAUUCCCAGCACCCACAAUAGACAGCUCAUAGUAACUCCAGUUUCUCCAGUACCAGGGGAUCCAGUUCCCUAUUCUGGCUUCUGAUGACACUGGGUACGCAUGUGGUGCUCAGACACACAUCCAGGCCAAACACUCACAUCCAUAAAACAUUCCAAAUUUAAACCAGAGCUAAGAAACGAGGGCCGGGAAGGACGCUAACUUAUCGGAGGCUCUUCCCACCCCAGAAUGUUCUGCUGGGGGCUGGAGGCCACCACUUGGCACUUCUCAGACUUCUUUUGCACAUUCUCAGUUGUUUUGCUAUAAAUGUAACCACCAGCAAGCACAUACAUUCACAGAACACUGACUGUACCAUGCCAGACCAAGGCAAAGCUUUUUUCACUUUUUUUUUUAUAAUUUUUUUUUCUUUUUUAGUUUUUGGAAUCAUAAGGUAACUAUACCACCUCUUCUAUCCUCUCCUCCCUCCAACCUCUUCCAUGUAUGCACCUCCCUCAAGUUCACGCAGUUGCUUUUUAUAUAUCAUCUGUAACUCCAGCUCUAGGCCCUCCAAGGACACCAGGCGUAUAUGUAGUAUAUUGACAUACACACAGAUAAAACAGACAUACACACAGAUAAAACAUGCAUACACAUGAGACAGUUUUGGGGAGAGAAAAAAGAUCCCCCAAAGAGGUCAACUGUCUCACCAUAGCAAUGCGUUCCCCAAUGCUCCCAAAUGCAGAGCCCAAGGACGGGAGUUAGGCCUGGUUUUACUUGCAUUACUCUU